rnacentral:rRNA from 1 species
AUUGAACGCUGGCGGCAGGCCUAACACAUGCAAGUCGAGCGGAUGAGAGGAGCUUGCUUCUCGAUUCAGCGGCGGACGGGUGAGUAAUGCCUAGGAAUCUGCCUGGUAGUGGGGGACAACGUUUCGAAAGGAACGCUAAUACCGCAUACGUCCUACGGGAGAAAGCAGGGGACCUUCGGGCCUUGCGCUAUCAGAUGAGCCUAGGUCGGAUUAGCUAGUUGGUGAGGUAAUGGCUUACCAAGGCGACGAUCCGUAACUGGUCUGAGAGGAUGAUCAGUCACACUGGAACUGAGACACGGUCCAGACUCCUACGGGAGGCAGCAGUGGGGAAUAUUGGACAAUGGGCGAAAGCCUGAUCCAGCCAUGCCGCGUGUGUGAAGAAGGUCUUCGGAUUGUAAAGCACUUUAAGUUGGGAGGAAGGGUUGUAGAUUAAUACUCUGCAAUUUUGACGUCACCGACAGAAUAAGCACCGGCUAACUCUGUGCCAGCCGCCGCGGUAAAAC